UGGGGGAAGCUUUGAGGCCGGCCACCUUCCAUGAAUAGUGGCGACCCCCAACGAGCGGCGACCUCUGACCUCUGGUGCUAGCAGACCCUCGACGGCCUUGGCCUUCGAUAGCCAAGAGCAUGGCUGGUAAUAGCAGCUGCUCUGAUGGAAGAAAAGAAGAAAACAAAAAUAGGAGAGGCUUGAUCUCCUAUGAAAUCUGGUGGCUGGCAGCUAAAUCCAGCCAUCAAGGGUUUUGUGGUGUUUGGAAAAGCAAAGAGGAAGGAGAAUAGAAGAUCGUUACCUCAACUUUGGUGAUAAAUUAAUGGUGGCUUGCCGGAAAUACUCGAUGGAAAGAAUCCAAUAAUCUAUACAAUCUUGCCAACAAUUGCUUGGGGAUUUGAAUGAUGUGUAGAGGGAGAGGGCUGGAGGAUUUAUCCUAGGGUUUUCAUCGGAGUUCGAUUGGCCCUAGGAUCCCUUUCUUGAUCGAAUUUGGAAGGGGAGACGGACUCCAUCGGGAGUUGUCCUCUUCCACCUGAUGUGCUUAGCACGUGCAAUUCAAAAUAUAUUUUUUUCUUACUUUAAUAUUCAUGUGGAGAAAAUUAAAGGGUCCGAGUCCUUACAGCCUCAUUGGUUACUCAAUCUAGACUCAUACGAUGAAAGAGUUGUCUUCAAGGUUUUCUUAUGCUUAGAAGAAGGCCAGUAAAUUAGAGGGAAGAUGCCAAUGCGUGAUACAAGGUUUUGCAUUUGCAUUCAUCUCAAGCGCAUAA
rnacentral:lncRNA from 1 species